UACGUAGGGUGCGAGCGUUGUCCGGAAUUAUUGGGCGUAAAGGGCUCGUAGGCGGUUUGUCGCGUCGGGAGUGAAAACACUGGGCUUAACUCAGUGCUGGCUUCCGAUACGGGCAGACUAGAGGUAUGCAGGGGAGAACGGAAUUCCUGGUGUAGCGGUGAAAUGCGCAGAUAUCAGGAGGAACACCGGUGGCGAAGGCGGUUCUCUGGGCAUUACCUGACGCUGAGGAGCGAAAGUGUGGGGAGCGAACAGG
rnacentral:rRNA from 1 species